GACUCCGUACGGAGGCGAGCAGUGGGAAUUUUGACAAUGGCGAAAGCCUGAUCCAGCCAUGCCGCGUGAGUGAAGAAGGGCCUUCGGGUUGUAAAGCUCUUUCGGUGGGGAAGAAAUUGCACGGGUUAAUACCCUGUGUAGAUGACGGUACCUAGAGAAGAAGCACCGGCUAACUACGUGCCAGCAGCCGCGGUAAUACGUAGGGUGCGAGCGUUAAUCGGAAUUACUGGGCGUAAAGCGUGCGCAGGCGGUUUGGUAAGUCAGAUGUGAAAUCCCCGGGCUCAACUUGGGAACUGCAUUUGAGACUGCCAAGCUGGAGUUUUGGCAGAGGGGGGUGGAAUUCCACGUGUAGCAGUGAAAUGCGUAGAGAUGUGGAGGAACACCGAUGGCGAAGGCAGCCCCCUGGGCCAAUACUGACGCUCAUGCACGAAAGCGUGGGGAG
rnacentral:rRNA from 1 species